GGGGGCGUUUUUUGGCUUCGACGGGAGUUGUAAAGCCUAAGGGGCAUGCCGAGUAUGUAGCUUAAUCUCGUUAAAAUUAGCUGCAGGCAAAUAUAACUGCCAACGAUAAAAACUACGCACUAGCAGCUUAAAAAACUGACGAAUGCCCUCUGACCUAAUGUUCUUAUGCGUUAGAUAUUCAGGGGUCGAUUUACAUAGGAUCGCUAAUUACAUUGCUCUAAUGUAAAUAGCUAAAUUAUAAGAGAUCGCAUCAUAUAAGCCUGCUAGGCAGCAAAACAUGAUGUUAAAUUUUUAUGUUUAGCUAAGCAUGUAGAUCCAAGGGGAGAGCGCUUGCGGACGCGGGUUCAAAUCCCGCCGCCUCCACCA
rnacentral:tmRNA from 1 species